rnacentral:rRNA from 1 species
CCCUUAGAUGUUCUGGGCCGCACGCGCGCUACAAUGGCAAACUCAGCGAGUCUCCUUUACCGACAGGUAUAGGAAAUCUUUUCAGUGUUUGCCGUGAUGGGGCUAGACCCUUGUAAUUAUUGGUCUCCAACGAGGAAUUCCUAGUAAACGCAGGUCAUUAACCUGCAUUGAUUACGUCCCUGCCCUUUGUACACACCGCCCGUCGCACCUACCGAUUGAAUGGUCCGGUGAAGUCUCCGGGCUGAGUACUUUUAGUACUUGGGAAGUUGACUAAACCUUACUAUUUAGAGGAAGGUGAAGUCGUAACA